UACAGCUGUUAUAAUUACAGCAGUAUUAAUACCUGAUCUUGUCUGAUCUCAGAAGCUAAGUAAGGUUAGGCCUGAUUAGUGCUGGAAAGGGAGACCUCAAAGGAAAAUCACAUUGCUCCUAUGC
rnacentral:rRNA from 1 species